UACGUAGGGGGCAAGCGUUGUCCGGAAUCAUUGGGCGUAAAGGGCGCGUAGGUGGUUCUGUAUGUCUACCGUGAAAGCAUACAGCUCAACUGUAUUUUGUCGGUAGAAACUGCAGAACUUGAGGCUGGGAGGGGCUGGUGGAAUUCCCUGUGUAGCGGUGAAAUGCGUAGAGAUGGGGGAGAACACUCGUGGCGAAGGCGGCCAGCUAGACCAGUUCUGACACUGAGGCGCGACAGCGUGGGGAGCAAACAGG
rnacentral:rRNA from 1 species